rnacentral:SRP_RNA from 1 species
GCCGGGCGUGGUGGCGCAUGCCUGUAAUCCCAGCUACCUGGGAGGCUGAGGCAGGAGAAUCGCUUGAACCCGGGAGGCGGAGGUUGCGGUGAGCCGAAAUCGUGACGCUGCACUCCAGCCUGGGCAACAGAGCAAGACCCUGUCUUUA